CAGAAGUAGCACCUCCACUAGUAGAUCUAUAGGCAUGGGGAGAGAGAAACAGGUAGAUCUGCUUGAAGCCAUCGUCUCAUAUCGAAUCCUUCAGAUCUCACACACGGAGACCAAGAAAAGCACAAUUCCCAUCCAUCUGAUCUGCAUGCCCAUCCCUCAUCCCUCUCCCCCCUCCAUGGAAUCCCACAAAAGCCGCAACCCUAGCUCCACUCCCUCUAUAAAUAGCGCGCCCCGUAAAGCAGCACAUACAUUACAGUGCAGCAAGAGCCGCAGCAGCUGUGGUCUGUGAGUGGAUCGCUCGGAGCAAGCAAAGGAACUAGUAGUGGCGGCCAUGUGCGCUUAUCAAAGGGUGGCGCUUACUGAGAGUUCCUUGGCAUUCUGUCCACCUCCCUUCUUGACGAUCUUGCAGAAAGUUUGCUUUUUUUGUUUGUUUGGAGGUGGGCAUACUGCCAAUGGAGCUGCGUAGGCCUCCCUUUGUAAAGCCCGCAUGACAUAAGUAAGAGCUACGUUAGAUUUGAUCAUCACCUGUGCCGGAAACGCCUUCGUUUUGCUGCCUUUUCUUGCGUGUGUUCAUUUGAUGGGCCUGUUUGUUUGAUUGAUGUCGAUCGAGGCGUGCCCGGCCGGCCGGUUCUAGCUUGUUUUCUUAGGCUCUUAGCUACAUAUGGUACGUUAUCUGAUCCGUUCUAUUCCAAUAAGCCUAAUCUAGUCUGCUGCUCUGAGGCAGCCGACCAUGGUUUUGGCCUUCUGCUUCUGGGGAUGGAAGAGAUAGUUCUCCCCUCCUCCCUUCUUCCGGAUCCACUAUUUUUGCCUUCUUUUGCGCGCGCAGGCAGCCAAGUUCUUCUUCGGAGGUCUAACCCCGCAGUUCAUGCUUUCUUCUUUCUAUCUUCGCAUGCAGAUGCAGACCUGUUCCUGAAUCUUUGAAGGGACUAAGGGAGUCGUCUGCAAUAUCUGACCAUGACGCCAGGGGCCAGGGAUGAGAAGAAAGAAGAUAUAUACAAGUAAACAGCUGUUUCAAUCCUUGCACAACUAUACACUUGAAUACUGCUCGAAUAUGUUUUGCAUAGUACUUACUAGUAAAUAUAGCUAGGGUUUUGUGCCAGUGACUGGUGAUGGUCAUGAUGAGAUGUGCCAUUCUUUU